CCCUACACAUGGUGGGUGGGUAAGAGCAGUGAGAAACAUUUCUACUGGGGAGGAUCAGGGCCAGGGAUACAGAAGUGUUCCUGUGGUAUCGACAGGAACUGUACUGACCCCAAAUACGACUGUAACUGUGACGCUGACCACAAACAAUGGAGAGAGGACAGUGGUCUGUUGGUGUAUAAGGACCAUUUGCCAGUCAGUCAGGUUGCCGUGGGUGACACCAACAGGCUGGGUUCAGAGGCAAAGCUCACCGUCGGGCCGCUCCGUUGUCAAGGAGACCGUAACUACUGGAACGCAGCAUCAUUCACCACGCCCUCCUCCUACCUGCAUUUCUCCACUUUCCAGGGAGAGACCAGCGCUGAUAUCUCCUUCUACUUCAAGACCAGCGCUCCCUACGGGGUGUUCCUGGAAAACCUCGGCAACACAGACUUCAUACGCCUCGAACUCAAAUGUAAGUGACUGUACCUCGUUCUCUCUCAUUUAGCACACUCUUUAGUUCUGUGGCUUCUUCUGUUUUUACACUCCUUUCAUUGGCCUCUCUGGCUUGUUCUCUCUCUUUCAUCUUUUUCAAUUACUCCUCUUUUCCCCUCUUCAAUCCUCCUCUCUUUAUUGCACUGUAUUAGAACACUGUAUUAGAACGAUGAAAAAAAACUCUGACAUUUCUGUUCAGACUUUAAAACUUUUCCCUGACUGCUUCCCUCUCAGUUCUCAAAUCAAGUCAAAUCAAACUUUAUCUGUCACAUGUGCACGAAUACAGCAAGUUCUUUUGAAAUGCUUACUUACAAGC